rnacentral:lncRNA from 1 species
GGAAGAAGGACAAUACUUGGAGGUUCUGUAUUAAUUACAGACAACUCAACAGCCUAACCACUAAGGAUAAGUUUCCUAUACCUUUUAUUGACUUGUUGGAUGAGUUAAAUGCUUAUGCGUUCACUAAGCUGGAUCUUAGGGCUGGAUAUCACCAGAUACAGAUGUAGUCUGAAGAUCAACACAAAACAACUUUUAGAACCCAUCAUGGCCAUUAUAAAUUUAGGGUGAUGCCCUUUCGACUCACAAAUGCUCCAGCUACAUUCCAGUCACUGAUGAACCAAGUGCUGGCACCCUAUCUCAUGAGGUUUUUGCUGGUAUUCUUUGAUGACAUACUGGUUUACAGCCCAACCCUGGAAGCACACCAGAAGCAUGUAGCCAAGACCCUACAUAUCCUGAGAAGGCGUCAGCUAUAUGCAAAACAAUCCAAGUGCUCCUUUGGUCAGCAACAAAUUACGUACCUGGGCAUGUCAUAUAAGGUGCAUGGGUAGCUACGGAUCAAAGCAAGAUCUGAGCCAUUAAGGAUUGGAAAAUACCAAAGAACAAUAGGGGUCUCAUAGGGUUCUUGGGUCUUACAGGGUAUUACAGAAAGCUCAUAAGGAACUAUGAAAUAAUCAGCAAGUCUCUCAUAGAGUUUCUCAAGAAGGAUGGAUUUUAGUGGAGUGAGGCUGCCACCCAAGCAUUUGAAAAGCUUAAGUUAGCCAUGACUGAGGCACCGGUUCUAGCAUUCCAAACUUCUAGCUACCAUUUAUCCUAAAAACGGAUGUGUCCGGAACUAGAAUAGGGGCAGUGCUACAGCAGCAAGGGAGACCUAUUGCCUACUUGAGCUAGGCAUUGAGCCCUAGGAACCAAGGCUUAUCUACAUACGAAAAGGAGUACAUGGCAGUGUUUUUUGCUCUUAGCCGGUGGAGACACUAUCUAGAAGGAAGACCAUUCCCAAUAGUCACUAACCAUGAGAGUCUUAAGCACCUAUUGGAGCAAAAGAUUCAUACCAACAUACAGAAGAAGGGAUUUGUGAAGCUGCUUGGACUAGAUUUCCAAACCAAGUUCAGACAGGGGAGGCUUAACAGGGUGGCAGAUACUCUGUCAAAAAGAUAUGAAGAAGCUGAGUGUUCUAGCAACUUUACCAUAAUGGAUGUUGAACGUUGAGAGUAGCUAUGAAGGAGACCAAGGAGGACCAUCACUC